rnacentral:rRNA from 1 species
UGGGGAAUAUUGCACAAUGGGCGCAAGCCUGAUGCAGCCAUGCCGCGUGUAUGAAGAAGGCCUUCGGGUUGUAAAGUACUUUCAGCGGGGAGGAAGGUGUUGUGGUUAAUAACCACAGCAAUUGACGUUACCCGCAGAAGAAGCACCGGCUAACUCCGUGCCAGCAGCCGCGGUAAUACGGAGGGUGCAAGCGUUAAUCGGAAUUACUGGGCGUAAAGCGCACGCAGGCGGUCUGUCAAGUCGGAUGUGAAAUCCCCGGGCUCAACCUGGGAACUGCAUCCGAAACUGGCAGGCUUGAGUCUUGUAGAGGGGGGUAGAAUUCCAGGUGUAGCGGUGAAAUGCGUAGAGAUCUGGAGGAAUACCGGUGGCGAAGGCGGCCCCCUGGACAAAGACUGACGCUCAGGUGCGAAAGCGAGGGGAGCAAACA